rnacentral:rRNA from 1 species
CCCUUAGAUGUUCUGGGCGGCCCGCGCACUACAUUGGCACUAGCAAAGAGAUCCUAGAUUGAAUUCUUUGGGGUAUUCUUCUAAAUGGUGUCGUGACUGGGAUAAAUCCUUGUAAUUAUUGGUUUUGAACGAGGAAUUCCUUGUAAUCGCGGUUUAUCAGCUCGCGUUGAAUGCGUCCCUGCCCUUUGUACACACCGCCCGCCGCUCCUACCGAUGGAUCGUCCGGUGAAGCUCACGGAGUGACUGUUCACGCAACGGUUUACGAAGUGAAAUGGACCUCACGAUUUAGAGGAAGGAGAAGUCGUAACA